AAAAAUUGAAGCUAGGCUAACACAAUGGCUGUCCGAGAAGUUCUCCCUGAAGUGUAUGAUGACCUUGAUCAGAAGCUAGAGAAAGAACUGCCACUGUCCAUUUGCGGACUGGUCCAUUUUCGGUUGAUGAGGAGGAAGCACCUGUUGACAGAGAAGAUGGUGUUGGUGGACAGUUGGCCGGACUUCUCUGUUCUUGUUAUUUUGGAUAGACAGAUGAGAGAGACUUGGUUGUUUUCUGUGUGUUUCUGCAAAGGACCUGAAUUUGCUUCACACCUAGAUACUGUGUUUCAGUUCGCCUCCAGAGAGACAUCCCUACCUCUCUCUAUCGUUGGUGAUGUUAAUUUGCAUAUUUUUCAAUGAUGAAUUCGGGGGGGGGGGGGGGGGGCUGUUGAAUUGAUCUAUCUUUAUAAUAUUGAAAAUUCAAUUUAAAUGAGUUUGUUUACUUUGAAAGAAAUAAAAUGCCAAGAGGUGCACGUGUAUAAAGUGUUUGCUGUUGAUGAAUGAACAUUAAUGCUGUGUAGGGUGUACCUCUGACGACAUGGACGCCCUCAUCAAUUUACACCAAUCAGCAAAAAGCUGCCCUUACCGACGAGACUACGCCGAUGCCAUAAUUUAUACACUGCCUGCUGAAAAUAUUGUUCCUAUAACAAUUCCAGACGGAUUCAAAAUAUCUGAACUAAAUGGACGUCAUACGGAGAUUGUACACAAAUCAUGGCCUUUUAUAAAUUCGCCAGAAAAGUGGACCAAUUACCAAAUCACUCAUUUCCCAUCAGUAUCAAUUGAAACCGAGGACGGACGUCCCGUGGCCUGGGAAGUUCAGCAUGAAUAUGGCGCCGUAGGAGCGUUACAUGUAGAACCGGAAUACCGGAGAAGUAAAUUCGGAAGUGUCGUCACAAGAACCCUGGCGGAAAAAAUGACCAAGGACGGACAACUCGUGUUUGCUCUUGUUAGGGAAAAUAACGACAGGUCGAUUGCAUUUCAUGAAAGUAAUGGUUAUGUACGAAUGCCUUUUAAAUUUUCGAUCAUGAGCUUUUUUGGAGAGGCAAAGGAAUAAAAGAGUGUGUAAAGCUUU
rnacentral:misc_RNA from 1 species